rnacentral:rRNA from 1 species
AUGGCGAUCAAACGAUCCGCCGCCGAUGUCCCGGCAUCUCCCCCUCGGCCGCGGACGGCAAAGCGGAUUCUCACCACCGACUCGCCGCCACCGCCGCCGCCUUACCUCCCUUCCGAGGUCAUCUUCGGCAUCCUGUCAUGGCUGCCGUCCAGGUCCGUCCUCCGCUUCAGGUCCGUCUGCAAGUCCUGGCAGGCCAUGCUAUCCGACCCAGUUUUUAUCACUGCUCAUCACGAGUGCUCCAAGAAGAUCCACCCGUCGCUGCUCAUGGUGCCCUGCGCGUACGACCGCGACGAUCUCCUCACGAACAAAAACGACAGCGCCUUCCGCAUGUCCUUCUACAGGUACCGCGUCGGCGACGUGGAGGAGCUGGUGCACCAGGAGGAGCUGCCCCAAGGGAUCGCCCUGUGGAGCAGCCCACUGCACUGCGACGGCCUGAUCCUCAUCUCCACCAUGCGGCAGGAGCUGGUGGUCUGCAACCCGGCGACGAGGGAGUUCGUCACCUUACCAGAACGGAAGCACUACAUCUUCGCCUUCCCGAGGGUGGGGUUCGGGUUCGACCCCCGCAGUAAGAAGUACAAGGUGGCGAGGUUCUUCUACGAAGAAAACCUUCCCAACAGCAAGAAGUACAGGCUCGUCUGCAGGUUCGAGGUGCUCACCCUCGGCACCGAUUCAUGGCGGCAGACGGCAGACCCGCCGCACUGGAUUGUCGGACAAACUCCGGCUCAUGUCAAUGGUUACAUCUACUGGACAUGUGUUUUAAACCAAGGUCGCGUGACUCCAUCCAAUUCAUUCGUCCGGUUCAGCUUGGCCGACGAGGAGUUCAGCUUGGUUCCACAUCCUCCGUCUGAUUUCAGACCUGCCCGCUUCGUGGAGUUGGAGGGCCAGCUGUGCUGCGUCUGCUUGGGCUUCACAAACCUAGAGCUCGAGGUUUGGACCAUGAGCUUCGGGGUCGAUCAGAGCCCCGAGUGGAGUCGACGCUGGGCUACGUGA